rnacentral:snoRNA from 1 species
CUCCAUUUUGUGUCACGUGUCUGAGCCACUGAUAUACUCUGAUGGGAUUGAGGAACUGAGGAG